UUCCCACCGCAAGUGUUAUCGGGCAGCGCUUGAUUGGAAACUCCGAUGCUGCCAGCAACGCUUCGUUUGCUGUUCAGUGUGUCUGUGGCGACUCUAGUGCUGUACUACGUGCUCAAGCACUUCUCCGCCCCGAAGGGAGGUGCCAAGAAGCUGAAGCGGAGAAAGGACCCUGCAGAGCGCAAGCCUGUCAAGGGCGUCGCACCGCAUAAGAUUGAUAUCUUCACCACCAACGUAUGCGCGGCCUUUCCGGAAAUGUCGGUCGACGCCGCCCGGCGUCUCUUUCCACGCAAGUUCGAGGUGCACGGUCACGUCGUGGUGAUUCGCCUGAAUGAUGGCACCUCGGUAGAGGAGCUCCGCCCGCUGGCACGCUUUUUUGCCGAGUCCUUUGCACCGGUUUUGGUGCAUGUGGUACUGCUGGACGUGGACGGCAUCGUUGGCGAGCUCCGCCGCCCAUCUCUGCAGAUCCUGUUCCAGGCAGACACGGCCUUGACGAAAUGUGCGACGUCGCUGCGACGCACCGUGCAACGCCGCUGGGGAGAUGCGCGGAAGCGAGGCCAAACGUCGUGUAUGACAAUUGAUGCUAUGGAGAGCACACUGAAUCGGUGGACGGCCUCACCAACCUUCACGGCACACGUGGAGAACGGUGUCAUUUACAGCUUCGACGUGUCGCGGGUGAUGUUUAGCAGCGGCAACACGACGGAGCGAAUGCACUUUGGGACCGUCACUGCUGCUGAUGAGGUCGUGGUAGACAUGUUUUGCGGCAUCGGCUACUUCACCCUUCCAUUAGCGAUGCAUGGCAACGUUGCAGCUAUUCACGCUCUUGAGAAGAACCCGGAUAGCAUCGACUUUUUGAAGCUAAAUGCCGUGCUGAACAAGGUGGACCACCUCAUUCGCCCCGUGUGCGGUGACAACCGCGAGGUGGGAGAGGAGUUGCUGGGCAAGUGCGACCGUGUUUUGAUGGGCUACAUUCCUACGUGCAAGUCGUUUCUCCCGCGUGCUCUGUCGUUCCUCAAGCGCAACGAGGCAGGGCGGAGUAGCGGCGUCGUGCACUACCACUUGCUUGCCGACAAGCUCAGCGCUGCGCAGGAGGCGCUGAGGGACGUCCAAGAUGAGCUGGGGGAGGAGGUCGCCGCGUUCGUCCGCAUUACUGAUCUUCGAUGUGUGAAGUCGUACGCUCCGAAACGCUUCCACUUUGUUGCUGAUCUCGUUUUCGAGUAGCGAGGGGGUGCGAGGGCGGUAGUGAUAUUCGCGGUGGCGAGUUGCGUGUCUGUGUGUAUGUGUGUGCUGGAAUGAGGGUAUGAAGGUGUGCGCUGUCUCUCUCUCUCCCUGCGCGUUGGCCCUCGUUCUACGUGACAUACGCCUUAUUGCCGCUUUGCUCUGCUGAUUUGGCUGACACCAGCAGCAGUAGCGGCCAAACACUUCGGCCCGCGCUGAUGGCGUGCCUUCCCAGCUGUGUAGUCCCGCUCCUCUAAGCCGAGUAACCAGUGAGACGAAG
rnacentral:misc_RNA from 1 species